ACCCGCCAUAAAAUUGAAAGAAGAAGAAGAAGAAGGAAGAGCCGCUUGUGCGCAUGUGCGUGCAUGCAUCCAGAGGUUACCACGCGAGACUGAGUAAAUACAGACAGGUGGAUAUUAAUCAGUUCGAUGACUAAAAUACUUCUUGCCAUCAACGGACAACGUUUCGUAUGUAAUGAAUUUCUCACUUGUGCAAACUUGGUCUGUGUGUGAGUGCUACAGUGGCAUAUAUUAUGGCAAAUUUUACAUGCCACUCAUGUGAAAUAUGAAAGUAAUAUGAAACAUUCAGUCACUCAAAACCCUAGGUCAGUUUAAUCCUGGGUUAUCUUGCAUGACACUUCACAAUUUACCUGGGGUUACCAAUUAAUCAUGCAGAUUUAUAAAUUAAUGUUUUUUAUACCACUGGCCUGUUGAAUAUUUUAUUCUGAUUGGCUGAGAAAUGUUUGAUUGGUUAUUUUUCUGUAAACCGCACACCUAACCUGUCAAAUAUCUUAAAGUUAAACGACAUAGAUUUUCAAUAUUUUAUUAUUUUCUUUCCUCAACUUAGAAUAAUUAAUAUUUUACAUGCCUAUCUUUUUUCAAUGUGUGCAACUAAUCUUUGCACAGUCCGUUGUGAAUGUGUUGGCAUUUAGGCAUCCAGCCCGUUCAUUCCUUAGGAUUUGAAUGGACCGGAUAAAUGGUAUGAUCACUCCAUCAUGCAUAAAAACACAAUCAACAGGGAUAUAAUUUGGGACUUGCUGAUGAACUGAUUAAUUCCAUCAUAGUUAGUUUUAUGUGUUAUCCUUAACUGAACACAAUAUGUGUUGUUUUAACACAACCAUUUUUAGAGUGUACAAGCAUGCAUCAAUUUAUAAGUGUAGAAGUGUGUGCAUGGCUGCCAUUUAAAUGGACUAUUGAAAAAUCAAUGAAAUUGUUAACUCCACUGGUCUUAAUUAUAAAGGGCACAUAUUAUUAGAAUACUUUUCUUAGGUGUUAGAACACCAAUGUGUCCUCAGUGUGUAAACAACCAGCCUAAAAUGGUAAAAAUACUUACACUUCUAUUUUAUGUAAUUUAAAUAAUUCAAAACCCCUGUUGAGAAAUACGUGAAAGGUGGUCACGGUACUUGUACAUUCAGGACGUGAUACACUUUACUGGACAUUUUAGAGAAUAGAUGAUAAUUCUACCACAUUUUAAUCAAUCUCACAAUUUUUUUUCCUUUCCUUACAGAUACUACAGUACGUGAUCUGGAGCUUGACUUCACCUGUUUUGUGGUGGUUAACAAAUUGUGCGGUGCUUUUGGCAUUGUCUAUCCAUGUAUAAUUGUGAUGUUCCAGGAGUGUUAACGGAAGCUACACAGUAUGUAAAUGUUUGUUCCAUUAUGUGUAUGUGUGUGUACCUGGUAAUUAUUACGUUGUGGGGACCUAAUGUCCCCACAAAGAUAGGAAUACCAGUAAAUUUUGACCUCGUGGGGACAUUUGUGAGGUCCCCAUGAGGAACCAAGCUUAUAAAUUAAACGGAAUGAUUUUCUUGGAUUUUUUCUUGAAAAUCUAAGGUCGCAGAAAGUUUUCUGUGAUGGUUGGGGUUAGGAUUUGGGGAAGGGAAUAGAAUAUACAGUUUGUACAGUAUAAAAUGCAUUAUGUCUAUGGAAUGUCCCCACAAAAGAUGGAAACCAGAAUGUGUGUGUGUGCGUGCCAUGGAACAAAUAUUUAUUUUUAUAGCUUUUUGUGUGUUCUGUUUUUGACUUUCCCCCUGAUAUCAAGACACCAAAAUAAUAUUUUAAUACGCAUUUUCAUGUGUUCGUAAAGAAAAUAAAGUGUACUUCACUGUUU